rnacentral:rRNA from 1 species
UACAGAGACCUCAAGCGUUAUCCGGAAUCAUUGGGCGUAAAGCGUACCGAUAGGUGGUUAUACAAGUCAGAAGUGAAAUCUCCGAGCUCAACUCGGAAUCUGUCUUUUGAAACUGUAUGACUAGAGGGGCAAAGAGGAAGCUGGAACGAACGGUGUAGUAGUGAAAUGCGUUGAUAUCGUUCGGAACACCGAUAGCGAAGGCAGGCUUCUGGGUGCCACCUGACACUGCUAGGACGAAAGCGUGGGGAGCGAAUGGG